rnacentral:ncRNA from 1 species
UGCAGGGCGUUGAUGAAGAAGAGUAGGCAUCAUGGACACUUCAGAGAGCUGACGGUUGGUGCGAGUCAGUGUGAAAGUGCUGCUGAAUGGGCUUCGGAGCUUCCAGACCGAAACGUGAGGAGUAGGCUUUGGCGGAGGUGUCUCACCGAUACAAGAGACUAGGUAUUGAAGUUGAGUACCGAAAAGUGAGUUUGCGUCUUUGGCGCAGGCUAAUAAAGGUGGCACCACGGGUUCUUCGUCCUUUGC